rnacentral:rRNA from 1 species
AGAGUUUGAUCCUGGCUCAGGAUGAACGCUAGCGGCAGGCUUAAUACAUGCAAGUCGAGGGGCAUCAGGGGUAGCAAUACCUGCUGGCGACCGGCAAACGGGUGCGGAACACGUACAGAACCUUCCUUUAAGCGGGGAAUAGCCCGGAGAAAUCCGGAUUAAUACCCCAUAGUAAUGUUGGGUGGCAUCAUUUGACAUUUAAAGAUUUAUCACUUAAAGAUGGCUGUGCGUAUGAUUAGGUAGUUGGUUGAGGUAACGGCUCACCAAGCCAACGAUCAUUAACUGGUGUGAGAGCACGACCAGUCACACGGGCACUGAGACACGGGCCCGACUCCUACGGGAGGCAGCAGUAAGGAAUAUUGGUCAAUGGACGCAAGUCUGAACCAGCCAUGCCGCGUGAAGGAUGAAGGUCCUCUGGAUUGUAAACUUCUUUUAUGUGGGAAGAAAUGCAUUCUUUAUAGAGUGUUUGACGGUACCAUAGGAAUAAGCACCGGCUAACUCCGUGCCAGCAGCCGCGGUAAUACGGAGGGUGCAAGCGUUAUCCGGAUUCACUGGGUUUAAAGGGUGCGUAGGUGGGCUUGUAAGUCAGUGGUGAAAUCUCCGUGCUUAACAUGGAAACUGCCAUUGAUACUAUAGGUCUUGAAUUUCCCGGAGGUUAGCGGAAUAUGUCUGUAGCGGUGAAAUGCUUAGAUAUGACAUAGAACACCAAUUGCGAAGGCAGCUAACUACAGGGAUAUUGACACUGAGGCACGAAAGCGUGGGGAUCAAACAGGAUUAGAUACCCUAGUAGUCC